UACGAACCGUCCAAACGUUUAUUCGGAUUCAUUGGGCUUAAAGGGUACGUAGGCGGCGCUAUCAGUCGGGUGUGAAAGCCCUCGGCUCAACCGAGGAACUGCGCCCGAUACUGUAGUGCUUGAGGGAGACAGAGGUAAGCGGAACUGAUGGUGGAGCGGUGAAAUGCGUUGAUAUCAUCAGGAACACCGGUGGCGAAAGCGGCUUACUGGGUCUCUUCUGACGCUGAGGUACGAAAGCUAGGGGAGCGAACGGG
rnacentral:rRNA from 1 species